GUGCUUGACUCCACUCAUCUUCAGUUUCUUCAAUUGCCUGAAAAAAAAAAAAUCUUCAGAGAGUUGUCCAAGGAGCAAGACAAAUGUAUUUGCAGAUGUAAAAUCAUAUAUCUAGUACUAAGCUUCCAUUAUCGAUGAUGAGAUGCAAUUCAAAAGUAGCUUUGGACUCGAUGUAAUAAAAGGUAUGCUGUGUUUGUCAGAAGAAGAGGUAUAUAAUCGACGGUGGCAUGAGUCAGUGGAUGCAAAAAAGCAAGCAGUUGCAAACCUUUUGACUGGAGAAAACAGCUUGACUAGGUCUUUCAAAUAUGCAAAGUUCUACGGACGGAUCUAGCUAUUUUCUAAACAAAUGAGAUUUCUCCAUUAUUGUCUCAAUUAUUUAACUAAUCAACUUGUAGGCUGUAAGCUGUAUGCUAGCCUUCACUAUGAUGGGUGGUGCGAACCAAAUGGCUUGUGAAUGCAUUUUGGCUUUGGUGAAUGCCCAAGCUAGUAACCACAACGAAAGAU
rnacentral:misc_RNA from 1 species